CGGGACGUGGCGCAGCUUGGUAGCGCACCUGACUGGGGGUCAGGGGGUCGUGGGUUCGAAUCCCGCCGUCCCGA
rnacentral:tRNA from 6 species